rnacentral:piRNA from 1 species
UGUGGACCCAAGGGAAACCAGUCGCA